CAGUCGCCACGGGAAUACGUAGGUGGCAAGCGUUGUCCGGAAUUAUUGGGCGUAAAGGGCUCGCAGGCGGUUUCUUAAGUCUGAUGUGAAAGCCCCCGGCUCAACCGGGGAGGGUCAUUGGAAACUGGGAAACUUGAGUGCAGAAGAGGAGAGUGGAAUUCCACGUGUAGCGGUGAAAUGCGUAGAGAUGUGGAGGAACACCAGUGGCGAAGGCGACUCUCUGGUCUGUAACUGGCGCUGAGGAGCGAAAGCGUGGGGAGCGAACAGGAUUAGAUACCCCAGUAGUCCCUGUCUCUUAUAC
rnacentral:rRNA from 1 species